rnacentral:rRNA from 1 species
CUCGUAGUUGGAUUUCGGAAGGUCCUUAGUAAUCCGCCCCUUCGGGGAGCGGGUUGCUGGCCUCCUAUGUUCCUAACGGUCCUCGUCCGCGAGGGCGGGGAAUCAACCGCUAGGAUCGUUUACUUUGAGGAAAUUAGAGUGUUCAAAGCAGGCGUAACUCGCCUCCGAAUACGUUAGCAUGGGAUAAUGGAAUACGACUUCGGUCUUGUUUCGUUGGUUUCGCUUGGCUGAAGUAAUGAUUGAUAGGGACAGUUGGGGGCAUUAGUAUUUAGUUGUCAGAGGUGAAAUUCUAGGAUUUACUAAAGACUGACCAAUGCGAAAGCAUUUGCCAAGGAUGUUUUCAUUAAUCAAGAACGAAAGUAGGGGGAUCGAAGACGAUCAGAUACCGUCGUAGUCUCUACCGUAAACUAUGCCGACCAGGGAUCCGGAGAGUUUGCAUGGAUGACUCCCCGGGCACCUUGUGAGAAAUCAUAAGUGUUUGGGUUUUGGGGGGAGUAGGUCGCAAGGCGAAACUUAAAGGAAUGACGGAA